rnacentral:rRNA from 1 species
CUUGCUCCUUUGACGUUAGCGGCGGACGGGUGAGUAACACGUGGAUAACCUACCUAUAAGACUGGGAUAACUUCGGGAAACCGGAGCUAAUACCGGAUAACAUAUUGAACCGCAUGGUUCAAUAGUGAAAGGCGGCUUUGCUGUCACUUAUAGAUGGAUCCGCGCCGUAUUAGCUAGUUGGUAAGGUAACGGCUUACCAAGGCAACGAUACGUAGCCGACCUGAGAGGGUGAUCGGCCACACUGGAACUGAGACACGGUCCAGACUCCUACGGGAGGCAGCAGUAGGGAAUCUUCCGCAAUGGGCGAAAGCCUGACGGAGCAACGCCGCGUGAGUGAUGAAGGUCUUCGGAUCGUAAAACUCUGUUAUCAGGGAAGAACAAAUGUGUAAGUAACUGUGCACAUCUUGACGGUACCUGAUCAGAAAGCCACGGCUAACUACGUGCCAGCAGCCGCGGUAAUACGUAGGUGGCAAGCGUUAUCCGGAAUUAUUGGGCGUAAAGCGCGCGUAGGCGGUUUUUUAAGUCUGAUGUGAAAGCCCACGGCUCAACCGUGGAGGGUCAUUGGAAACUGGAAAACUUGAGUGCAGAAGAGGAAAGUGGAAUUCCAUGUGUAGCGGUGAAAUGCGCAGAGAUAUGGAGGAACACCAGUGGCGAAAGCGACUUUCUGGUCUGUAACUGACGCUCAUAUGCGAAA